GCGUGUGAGUUUGCGAGAAGUGUUCAAGGGGUGUGUGGUUGUGCAAGCGGUGUGUGAGUGUGCAGGGGUGUGAAUGUGUGACCAGUGUUGCGAGGCAUGUGUGAAUGUGUAUGGUGUGUUAGUUUUUUGGGGCAUGAUUAUGCGAUGGAUGUGUGAGUGUGCGACAGGUGUGCAAGGGGUGUGUGAGUGUGCAAGAGGGGUGUGAGUGUGCAAGGGGUGUGAAUGUGUGACAGGUGUUGCGAGGGGUAUGUGAGUGUGUGUGGUGUGUUAGUGUUUGUGGGGCAUGAGUCUGUAAUGGGUGUGUUCACGAGGUGUGCAAGGGGUGUGUGAGUGUGCAAGAGGUGUGUGAGUGUGCAAGGGGUGUGAAUGUGUGACAGGUGUUGCGAGGGGUAUGUGAGUGUGUGUGGUGUGUUAGUGUUUGUGGGGCAUGAGUCUGUAAUGGGUGUGUUCACGAGGUGUGCAAGGGGUGUGUGAGUGUGCAAGAGGUGUGCGAGUGUGCAAGGGGUUUGAAUGUGUGACAGGUGUUGCGAGGGGUGUGUGGGGUGUGUUAGUGUUUGUGGGGCAUAAGUCUGUGAUAGGUGUGUGCGAGAGGUGUGCAAGGGGUGUGUGAGUGUGCAAGAGGUUUGUGAGUGUGCAAGGGGUGUGAAUGUGUGACAGGUGUUGCAAGGGGUAUGUGAGUGUGUGUGUGGUGUGCACCAGUUGUGACUAACUGUUUGUGGGGCAUGAGUGUGC